ensembl:snRNA U6 U6 spliceosomal RNA
UUGAUUCAGCAGCAUAUAUACUAAAAACGGAACUAUACAGAGAAGAUCAGCAUGGUUCCCAUGGAAGGAUGACACGCAAAUUUGUGAAGCACUCUAUUUUUUU